rnacentral:rRNA from 1 species
CAUGCAAGUCGAACGGCAGCCUGUAGCAAUACAGGUGAGAGUGGCGAACGGGUGAGUAACACGUAGGUGAUCUGUCCUUGUAUCGGGGAUAGUCCGUGGAAACAUGGGGUAAUACCGGAUAAUCUGUAGGGAGUAAAGGCCCUAUAGGAAAGGCGCGUAUGCGCCGGACGAGGAUGAGCCUGCGGCCCAUUAGCUAGUUGGCAGGGUAAGAGCCUACCAAGGCGACGAUGGGUAGCCGGCCUGAGAGGGUGAACGGCCACACUGGGACUGAGAUACGGCCCAGACUCCUACGGGAGGCAGCAGCUAAGAAUCUUCCGCAAUGGGCGCAAGCCUGACGGAGCGACGCCGCGUGGACGAAGAAGGCCGAAAGGUUGUAAAGUCCUUUUCUUUGUGAAGAAUAACGAUGGUAGGAAAUGACCGUUGGAUGACGUUAACAAAGGAAUAAGCCCCGGCUAAUUACGUGCCAGCAGCCGCGGUAAUACGUAAGGGGCGAGCGUUGUUCGGAAUUAUUGGGUGUAAAGGGCGCGUAGGCGGCCACGCAAGUCUGGUGUAAAAGAUAACAGCUUAACUGUUGGAGUGCACUGGAAACUGCGAGGCUUGAGUUUAGGAGGGGGAGCUGGAAUUCCAGGUGUAGGGGUGAAAUCUGUAGAUAUCUGGAAGAACACCGGUGGCGAAGGCGAGCUCCUGGCCAUAGACUGACGCUGAGGCGCGAAAGCGUGGGGAGCAAACAGGAUUAGAUACCCUGGUAGUCCACGCUGUAAACGAUGUACACUAGGUGUUGGUACAAGAGUAUCAGUGCCGAAGCAAACGCGAUAAGUGUACCACCUGGGGAGUAUGCCGGCAACGGUGAAACUCAAAGGAAUUGACGGGGGCCCGCACAAGCGGUGGAGUAUGUGGUUUAAUUCGAUGAUACGCGAGGAACCUUACCAGGGUUUGACAUUGACGGCGAAUUAUGAGAGAUCAUGAUGCCCUUCGGGGGCCGUUACAGGUGCUGCAUGCUGUCGUCAGUUCGUGCCGUGAGGUGUUGGGUUAAGUCCCGCAACGAGCGCAACCCCUAUUUCUAGUUACUACCAGGUUAAGCUGAGGACUCUAGAGAGACUGCCGGUGACAAACCGGAGGAAGGUGGGGAUGACGUCAAGUCAUCAUGGCCCUUAUGUCCUGGGCUACACACGUACUACAAUGGUCGGUACAAAGCGAGGCGAAACCGCGAGGUGGAGCAAACCGCAGAAAGCCGAUCACAGUUCAGAUUGGAGUCUGAAACUCGACUCCAUGAAGGUGGAAUCGCUAGUAAUCGCGCAUCAGCAUGGCGCGGUGAAUACGUUCCCGGGCCUUGUACACACCGCCCGUCACACCACCCGAGUUGGGGGUACCCGAAGUCGGUCGUCUAACCGUAAGGAGGACGCUGCCGAAGGUACGCCUGGUAAGGGGGG